CCUGGGCUUUUUCCCAGGAAUUUGGCAUUGAACUUGAUGUUAAUCUGAGGGAGUUUCCAGUUCCUGGCUGCGAGGCUGGAUGAGGACACGUGGCCCCGAGGCACAGAGAGCCCAGGGCUGUGGGCAGAGAAGAGUCAGAGCCUCAGGGGCCUCGCCCUGUCCAGAACUCCACGUGACAUGACGCCCCACAGAGCGAACCUCUGACAAACAAGCAUGGGGCCCGUGUUGCCCUAGUGGAUGGAAAUGGACGUGGGAAGCAAGAGAACAUCACCUAAGAACAAGGGCAUUCUCUUACAUAACCACAGCAUAAUUACCAAAAUCAGAAACUUGGGCCAGCUCCUGUUCAGUUCAAACUGGUUGAGACCACUGACACUUCAACGGAGCCUGUGCAAGUGCCCGAGAGGUGGCCUUUUGACUUCAGAAGGCCCAAAGUUCCACCCUUAUGUUAUGCUAAUGCCGCCUUUCUAUACAUAUGUCCUAUGAAAUACUGUGAACCCUGUGCAGAAAGAACCUGUUACUUCAUUUUCCCCCACUGCCAAUCACCUUUCCUCACCCUGUGUCCCUAACCCAUAAAUAUCCCUCAGCCUUAUCUUCAGGGAAGUGGAUUUGAAAACUAUUCUCCCACCUCCGCACUUGGUGUCCUUGGGAAUAAAUUCUUUCCCUCUUACAAAACUA
rnacentral:lncRNA from 10 species